ensembl:lncRNA
CACUGGACUGGGGAGAGGGUCAUUUUCAGAGGAAAUCUGGGGAACAAAGGGAGGUCCUGCAGACCCCACACAUGCCUCCUACAUGUGAUCAUUCCAGGGGUGGCCAGUGAGGGCUCCCAUGUAGAAGUAUUUACAAGGGUAAAAGCCUGCUCAGAGGCCUUGGGUCUCCACCUGCCAGCCUCUUCCCCUUUGGCGCAAAACACUGUGGCUGCUAGGACCUGCGUCUCAGAAAACCCCAGGAAACUUCAAAGGGGCCUGUCCACCUCACCAGCUUUGAUCUCAAGGGGACUAGCUAAGAAGCAUGAUCAAAAGGAACAUGGACGGUUCCAGGUAUGCGCAGACACCCCCUCUGGGAGCAAACCAAGGCUCUUUCAUCCAGGCUGCAGGAGUUGCCGUCUAAAGAGACUUAAAUAGCCUUAAAAGCAUUUUUCUUUUUAUGUGAGAAAUGAGCAACAAAACAUGCUCCUGCCUUGCUCACCUGGACGUCGUAAGGACGAGAAGUGGAGGCUGUCAUGGAGCCAGGCUGGGGUCUGUGGAUACAAGAAUAAUAUGAAGACGGUGCUGAUCCUGGGGCAUCAGGACCACAGGUGCUGUGUGUCUUUGCAAGUUGCUGCCCCUCUCUGGGCCCCAGUUUGAGCUUUUAUAAUAAUAACUGCCAUCACCCUCUCCUACUGCACAGUGACAUCACAUGCUUGGCAUUCUGGGCCAGAUGGUCUUGGCAGAUCCUUUCCAGAUCAAUAUUUUAUGGAUCUAAGUUCCAGGAGCAAGAUGAUCACUCAGAUGAGACAGAAUUAACACUUUAAAAUCAUUUCUAAAAGCCAGUUGUCCAGAUUCCAGACUCUGGUCUGGGAGCAGAGAAAAGGAUGCUUCUUGAACAGGGAAAAAAAAGUCAUGAGCCCCAGUGAGGAUGGCAGGUGGGUUGCUGGGUCUUGAGUGACCUCAGCGGGCUUUCUUGGUGGCUUAGACAGUCAAGAAUCUGCCUGCAGUAUGGGAGACCUGGGUUUGAUCCCUGGGUUGGGAAGAUUCCCCUGGAGGAGAGCAUGGCUACCCACUCCAGUAUUCUUGCCUGGAGGACUCCAUGGACAGAGGAGCCGGGUGGGCUACGGUCUGUGGGCUCGCAAAGUGUCAGACACGACUGAGUGACUUUCACUUUCACUUUGAUGCAGCUGAUUCAAGGAUCUCAAGAUGUAACUAGCCUGGAUUAGGCGGGGCCCUGAAUCCCGUGGCUGGUGUCCUUAGGAGAAAGGGGAGGGAGAUCUGAGACAAGGGCACACAGGGGAGGGGCCGUGGGAGACUGGAGGGAUGCAGCCGCGUGCCAGGGAAACCAGGAGCCGCCAGACGCUGGAGAAGCAGGAAGGACCCUCCCCUAGAGCCUCCAGAGACAGUAUGGCCUGCCGAUACCUGAACUCCAGCUCCAGCCUCCAGAACUGUCAUUUAAUCCCCCCAGUUUGUGGUCAUUUGUUACGGCAGCCCCAGGUCACGGAUGCAGGUCCUGCGACCACAGACUUGUUUCCAUGGAGACAGCCAGUCUCAGGGCUCCUGACAGGCGCUGCCAAUAGUAGGAGCUUCCGCAGGCCCCGAUGGCCGUCCCAGGUGGGAGGGGCAAGGUUGGCAGGUGUGCGCUGCUCCCUGAUGGACACCCC